rnacentral:tRNA from 1 species
GGGCCGCUAGCUCAAUAGGCAGAGCUGCCGGCUUUUAACCGGUAGGUUCGGGGUUCGAGUCCCUGGCGGCCCA